rnacentral:rRNA from 1 species
UACAGAGGUCCCGAGCGUUGUUCGGAUUCACUGGGCGUAAAGGGUGCGUAGGUGGUGAGGUAAGUCGGAUGUGAAAGCUCGGAGCUCAACUCCGAAAUGGCAUUGGAAACUACCUUGCUAGAGGGUUGGAGGGGGGACUGGAAUGCUUGGUGUAGCAGUGAAAUGCGUAGAUAUCAAGCGGAACACCAGUGGCGAAGGCGAGUCCCUGGACAACUCCUGACACUGAGGCACGAAAGCUAGGGGAGCAAACAGG